UCUUGUGGAAAAGGUUAUCACAAGAGAUUCCAAAUGAAGCUAAAUCAAUCAAGAAACUGCUUGCAGUAAUCUGCAAUACUGAGAGAAAGUAGACUGGUCAAAAAUGUAAAAUUAAGAUUAACGAGAAACUUAUACUAUUAUUUAUGAAAUACUAUACUUUGUGCUCGUGAGUUUUGCAUUAUAUGUAAUAAUAGGUCCAAGAUGUUGAAGGGGUCGAGCUGUGUGGAACUUUUAAAAAUGUCAUAGCCAUGGCUGCGGGCGUGUGCAACAGUAUCCUGCUGUUUGUUCUUUUCAAUUUUAGUGAAUGACCAAGGAAUGAAAACCAAAUGGGACAGGUUUUGUUGAUGGCUUGGAGAUGGGAAAUAAUAAGAAAGCUGCCAUCAUGCGAGAAGAGAUGAAGGCGUUUUCCAAGCUACUCUUUCCGUCUGUUAAGGACAGCAAGAAAGCUGUGGUGUGGCUGACCUUAUCACAACAUGCUGUAAGGAAGCCGUUUGACUUAAUAUCUCUUUUCAUCGCUUAUAUAGGGAUUUCAUUUAAACCAAAUCAGUCAUGGCAGUGGUGGAAGAAACAGGGACGUUGCCGAGGCUUUUGCCAAGAAUGGAGGGAAGAGAUGGGUUUUUCACCUCUGAUACAAACUAUUUGUACUCAAAUUGUAAAUUUAGAGGCUCGGGCUCAAGAUAAUUUAGUCGGCUUUAAAAUAAUUAAAAAAUAUAUUUAUAAAAUCUUAGUCACUGAGUCAAGACCGAGUCCAGACCAUUGUCUCUACACUUUACCCAUGAUGAGAAACUACGAUGGAGGGAGUGCUUCCUAAAUUCAAAAAAAGUGAUGAUCAUGAGGUUUGAAUACCAAGUCAAGAUCAUCUAUAAAUGGAGGAGCACUCUCUCAACAAGAAUCAUCAUCCGCAUCAACAAAUCACCAGUCAAAUUUUAUAAUGUAUUUUUAUUUUAUUUUUUCUUUUAUCAUGUAGUUUUAAUCUUUAUUUUUCUAUCAUAUAGCUGGCAUAGCUCACCACCUCUUUCUUUAAUUAAUGUAUUUUUACUUUUCUGCAUUUACAUUAAUUUUCUUGACUUUGCAUUUUUACAAUCGGAUGAACUACGGUAAGGGAGCCUAGCUUCUCCACGUUUGAUUAAAAGUCAGGUUCUUUCUUCCUUUUAAGACCCCGCGACUCUGGCAUACCUCGCAACGCUCCUUUUUGUUUUUGCCAAACAUAGACAUACCAUCUUGAGAGAGAAAAGGAACAUAAUCUAUUUAAUAUUGCCUUCCUUGGCUGUUUAUUUUCUGCAGGUCAUCUAAUGAGCUUGAAAAAGAAAUGUUGCAGGGCCAGAAAUUUCAGGUUAAAUUAUUUAGAUUGACUAAAACAAAAUCCUUUGAUUUUGCGCAUUGAUCAGGAGUUCUGGUGACAAUAUGGUCUACAAUAAGAGUAAAAAUUGAACUUAGGGACCACUAGGCACUAGUUAUUAUAUAUAUGCAUUUAUCAAGCGACCUAUUGUAGGAUAAAACAGUUUAAGUUCUCGUGUUUAUGAGAUGUUCUUCCAGGCAAAAGGAUUCUGAAUGAUUGUUAUCACCGGAAAGAAUCGUAGACAUGGCCACAUGGGUUACCUUCAUUACUUGUUAUCAAAUAUUACACUUUCCAAAACUUGUGGAUUUGUGUGAUUGAUUCUAGCCUUACUUGACUAAUUUUCCUGCACAAAGGGGGUCUCCAUUUCAAGCGAUAUUCACGAGGUUCUAAGCCAUCGUGGAUGGCUGGAAUUGUUCCCCCUCUUCUCAUUACCGCAUGAGAUUUGCUCUGGCCGCCUCCCACCAUCUGCCAUAGUUCAAUACAGUGAGCAUAAAAUCCAGUUCUUCCAGAUCCAAGGUUUGGGGAAGUAAAACGUCUUGUUGCAGAAAUGAAAUUUAUCACAUUUACAGAUCAAAGAAAACUGAAGAGUAAAUGUCUCCGGAGGGUUUGAUUACUCCUGGAUGCUCUUUCUUGCCAAAAUCUCAUGCCAAUCGCACGCCCUUUGAGCUCUCCAAGCAGUGAAUGCAUUCUCUCUCCAAACAAACCCCAUCCCACGCUUGUUCAGACUCAGAGGGACUCAAAUUUGAGAACUUGGUAAUGGAAUAUCGUUUGUUCACGAGAUAUUAGGUCAUUGUCUUCAUGUGCACAUGACAUAAGUAGAACUUUGUUGAAACAUCUGAAUGAAGACAGCUUAACCUUAAAGCUGUGUCUGAUUAGGGGAAUUUGGGUGAGGGAAGGAAAAGAUAUUGCAUAUAUGUUGUUCAAAAAGUCUACCUAAAAUGCGGAAAAGAAGACAACUGUACAAGGAAAGUGAUUCCAAUCGUUUACCUUUUUU